rnacentral:rRNA from 1 species
GUCCAGACUCCUACGGGAGGCAGCAGUGGGGGAUAUUGCACAAUGGGGGGAACCCUGAUGCAGCGACGCCGCGUGGGUGAAGAAGCGCCUCGGCGCGUAAAGCCCUGUCAGCAGGGAAGAAAAUGACGGUACCUGAAGAAGAAGCCCCGGCUAACUACGUGCCAGCAGCCGCGGUAAUACGUAGGGGGCAAGCGUUAUCCGGAUUUACUGGGUGUAAAGGGCGUGCAGCCGGGCUGACAAGUCAGAUGUGAAAUCCCGCGGCUCAACCGCGGAACUGCAUUUGAAACUGUCAGUCUUGAGUACCGGAGAGGUCAGCGGAAUUCCUUGUGUAGCGGUGAAAUGCGUAGAUAUAAGGAAGAACAUCAGUGGCGAAGGCGACUAUCUGGCACAUAACUGACGCUGAGGAGCGAAAGCGUGGGUAGCAAACAGGAUUAGAUACCCCAGUA